GCAGCCGCACGUACACACGGGACAACUCCCCCCUCAUAGACCCGCCUUCCUGGUUUAAAGGGCAAGUAGGGAGCACGGAGGAUGCCUUCACAUUCAGCAGCUGCAUAGCAUCUAUCAUCUACAAUGCCAGCCCCUGCAGGAAACCAUUUUUGACUGGAACUACUAGUUCUGAAGCAGUCAGCAGAGGGCAGCAGCGAACAAGGACGUUUCUUCUCUGGAUGUGCAGAUUUGAAGACCCAGCUUCAGAGAUCCACAGAGCUGAGUUUUUGUUAGCGAGGCAUCUCGGCUGUUGACAGCUAAUGGAAUUGCUCUUCACCUCUUGUGCGUAUGAUCCCGCGGAGAUAAGGCAGGAGAUGAAUGUGGAAUCUGUGCUGUCAGUUGUGAGGCCGAGCUGUCCUGGAAGACGUCAUUCAUUUGUGGAGGAAGCGUCUGAAACGGGUAUCCGUUUCCAACCGGCUAAGCACUGGAGGGUGGAAGGGUAUUCACCAUGCUGAGGGUAUGGAACAGUGUGGAGGGGACGAGGAGUCCACACAGGCUCUGUAUGACGUUUAUAGAAGCACUGAUCAC